rfam:Stegodyphus mimosarum contig18321, whole genome shotgun sequence.
GCCUUCGUGGUGUAGUGGUCAGCACGCUAGGUGCGUAUUCCAGAGGUCCGUGGUUCGAGUCCCGGUGGAAGUG